rnacentral:rRNA from 1 species
GGGGGAUAUUGCGCAAUGGAGGAAACUCUGAUGCAGCAACGCCGCGUGAGGGAAGAAGGUCUUCGGAUUGUAAACCUUUGUCCUUGGUGACGAAACAAAUGACGGUAGCCAAGGAGGAAGCUCCGGCUAACUACGUGCCAGCAGCCGCGGUAAUACGUAGGGAGCAAGCGUUGUCCGGAUUUACUGGGUGUAAAGGGUGCGUAGGCGGCCCUGCAAGUCAGGCGUGAAAGGCGGAGGCUUAACCUCCGAGCUGCGUUUGAAACUGUGGGGCUUGAGUGAAGUAGAGGUAGGCGGAAUUCCCGGUGUAGCGGUGAAAUGCGUAGAGAUCGGGAGGAACACCAGUGGCGAAGGCGGCCUACUGGGCUUUAACUGACGCUGAAGCACGAAAGCAUGGGGAGCAAAC